rnacentral:rRNA from 1 species
GGUUAAGCGACUAAGCGUACACGGUGGAUGCCCUGGCAGUCAGAGGCGAUGAAGGACGUGCUAAUCUGCGAAAAGCGCCGGCGAGGUGAUAUGAACCCUUGACCCGGCGAUGUCCGAAUGGGGAAACCCAGUGUGAUUCGUCACACUAUCGUUAACUGAAUACAUAGGUUAACGAGGCGAACCGGGGGAACUGAAACAUCUAAGUACCCCGAGGAAAAGAAAUCAACCGAGAUUCCCCCAGUAGCGGCGAGCGAACGGGGAGCAGCCCAGAGUCUGAAUCAGCUUGUGUGUUAGUGGAAGCGUCUGGAAAGUCGCACGGUACAGGGUGACAGUCCCGUACACGAAAAUGCACAGGCUGUGAACUCGAAGAGUAGGGCGGGACACGUGGUAUCCUGUCUGAAUAUGGGGGGACCAUCCUCCAAGGCUAAAUACUCCUGACUGACCGAUAGUGAACCAGUACCGUGAGGGAAAGGCGAAAAGAACCCCGGCGAGGGGAGUGAAAAAGAACCUGAAACCGUGUACGUACAAGCAGUGGGAGCACCUUCGGGUGUGACUGCGUACCUUUUGUAUAAUGGGUCAGCGACUUAUAUUCUGUAGCAAGGUUAACCGUAUAGGGGAGCCGAAGGGAAACCGAGUCUUAACUGGGCGUUAAGUUGCAGGGUAUAGACCCGAAACCCGGUGAUCUAGCCAUGGGCAGGUUGAAGGUUGGGUAACACUAACUGGAGGACCGAACCGACUAAUGUUGAAAAAUUAGCGGAUGACUUGUGGCUGGGGGUGAAAGGCCAAUCAAACCGGGAGAUAGCUGGUUCUCCCCGAAAGCUAUUUAGGUAGCGCCUCGUGAACUCAUCUUCGGGGGUAGAGCACUGUUUCGGCUAGGGGGCCAUCCCGGCUUACCAACCCGAUGCAAACUACGAAUACCGAAGAAUGUUAUCACGGGAGACACACGGCGGGUGCUAACGUCCGUCGUGAAGAGGGAAACAACCCAGACCGCCAGCUAAGGUCCCAAAGUCAUGGUUAAGUGGGAAACGAUGUGGGAAGGCCCAGACAGCCAGGAUGUUGGCUUAGAAGCAGCCAUCAUUUAAAGAAAGCGUAAUAGCUCACUGGUCGAGUCGGCCUGCGCGGAAGAUGUAACGGGGCUAAACCAUGCACCGAAGCUGCGGCAGCGACACUAUGUGUUGUUGGGUAGGGGAGCGUUCUGUAAGCCGUUGAAGGUGGCCUGUGAGGGUUGCUGGAGGUAUCAGAAGUGCGAAUGCUGACAUAAGUAACGAUAAAGCGGGUGAAAAGCCCGCUCGCCGGAAGACCAAGGGUUCCUGUCCAACGUUAAUCGGGGCAGGGUGAGUCGACCCCUAAGGCGAGGCCGAAAGGCGUAGUCGAUGGGAAACAGGUUAAUAUUCCUGUACUUGGUGUUACUGCGAAGGGGGGACGGAGAAGGCUAUGUUAGCCGGGCGACGGUUGUCCCGGUUUAAGCAUGUAGGCGGAGGUUCCAGGUAAAUCCGGUACCUUUUAACGCUGAGGUGUGAUGACGAGGCACUACGGUGCUGAAGUAACAAAUGCCCUGCUUCCAGGAAAAGCCUCUAAGCAUCAGGUAACACGAAAUCGUACCCCAAACCGACACAGGUGGUCAGGUAGAGAAUACCAAGGCGCUUGAGAGAACUCGGGUGAAGGAACUAGGCAAAAUGGUGCCGUAACUUCGGGAGAAGGCACGCUGAUAUGUAGGUGAAGCCCCUGCGGGUGGAGCUGAAAUCAGUCGAAGAUACCAGCUGGCUGCAACUGUUUAUUAAAAACACAGCACUGUGCAAACACGAAAGUGGACGUAUACGGUGUGACGCCUGCCCGGUGCCGGAAGGUUAAUUGAUGGGGUUAGCGGUAACGCGAAGCUCUUGAUCGAAGCCCCGGUAAACGGCGGCCGUAACUAUAACGGUCCUAAGGUAGCGAAAUUCCUUGUCGGGUAAGUUCCGACCUGCACGAAUGGCGUAAUGAUGGCCAGGCUGUCUCCACCCGAGACUCAGUGAAAUUGAACUCGCUGUGAAGAUGCAGUGUACCCGCGGCAAGACGGAAAGACCCCGUGAACCUUUACUAUAGCUUGACACUGAACACUGGUCCUUGAUGUGUAGGAUAGGUGGGAGGCUUUGAAGCGUGGACGCCAGUCUGCGUGGAGCCAACCUUGAAAUACCACCCUUUAAUGGCUGGUGUUCUAACGUAGACCCGUAAUCCGGGUUGCGGACAGUGUCUGGUGGGUAGUUUGACUGGGGCGGUCUCCUCCCAAAGAGUAACGGAGGAGCACGAAGGUUAGCUAAUCCUGGUCGGACAUCAGGAGGUUAGUGCAAUGGCAUAAGCUAGCUUGACUGCGAGAGUGACGGCUCGAGCAGGUGCGAAAGCAGGUCAUAGUGAUCCGGUGGUUCUGAAUGGAAGGGCCAUCGCUCAACGGAUAAAAGGUACUCCGGGGAUAACAGGCUGAUACCGCCCAAGAGUUCAUAUCGACGGCGGUGUUUGGCACCUCGAUGUCGGCUCAUCACAUCCUGGGGCUGAAGUAGGUCCCAAGGGUAUGGCUGUUCGCCAUUUAAAGUGGUACGCGAGCUGGGUUUAGAACGUCGUGAGACAGUUCGGUCCCUAUCUGCCGUGGGCGCUGGAGAAUUGAGGGGGGCUGCUCCUAGUACGAGAGGACCGGAGUGGACGCAUCACUGGUGUUCGGGUUGUCAUGCCAAUGGCACUGCCCGGUAGCUAAAUGCGGAAGAGAUAAGUGCUGAAAGCAUCUAAGCACGAAACUUGCCCCGAGAUGAGUUCUCCCUGAGACUUAAAGUCUCCUGAAGGAACGUUGAAGACGACGACGUUGAUAGGUCGGGUGUGUAAGCGCAGCGAUGCGUUGAGCUAACCGAUACUAAUGAACCGUGAGGCUUAACCUU